rnacentral:rRNA from 1 species
GAUGAACGCUGGCGGCGUGCCUAAUACAUGCAAGUCGAACGAAACUUCUUUAUCACCGAGUGCUUGCACUCACCGAUAAAGAGUUGAGUGGCGAACGGGUGAGUAACACGUGGGCAACCUGCCCAAAAGAGGGGGAUAACACUUGGAAACAGGUGCUAAUACCGCAUAACCAUAGUUACCGCAUGGUAACUAUGUACAAGGUGGCUAUACUACCGCUUUUGGAUGGGCCGGCGGCGGAUUAGCUAGUUGGUAGGGUAAAGGCUUACCAAGGCAAUGAUGCGUAGCUGGUGUGAGAGGUUGAUCGGCCAAAUUGGAACUGAGACACGGACAAAACUCCUGCGGGAGGCAGCAGUGGGGAAUUUUGCACAAGGGGGGAAAGCCUGAUGAAGCAACGCCGGGUGGGUGAAGAAGGCUUUCGGGUGGUAAAACCCUUUUGUUGGGAAAGAAAGGGAGGAGGAGAAUCUGUUGACGUUCGGACGUUACCAAAAAAAAAAGCACCGGCUAACUCCGUG